ensembl:lncRNA
UAUAUAUAUAUAUAUAUCAAAUAUUUACUCUGUAUAUAUAUAUAUAUAUAUACACACAUAUAUAUAUAUAUACAUAUAUAUAUCAAAUAUUUACUCGUACUUGUAUAUACAUAUACAGAGUAUAUAUAUAUAUAUGUAUAUACAGAGUAAAUAUUUGAUUCCCUCUAAUUCUUCACCAUUUACUGUAAAUAUUGUCACCAUUAGAAGUGUAUUUAUAGGAUCCUUUUUGACUCUUUUUUGCAUUUGUGUGUGUUUGGCUUGAGCUGAAAUCCAUGACGCAUGCUUUAACCUGCACACACACACACACACACACACACACACACACACACACACACACACACACACACCGGUCCCUACAUCACCAAGGAACACCUCGUCUUUCUGCAAAUACAAAUUGCAAGUGAAGUCGUCACCAACUAUCGCCUUCCUCUCCGAGUGUGUUUACGCCAGUGUGUGUGUGUGUGUGUGUUUCCAGAUAAGUGGGCGCGCCGCGUGUGAAAUCUUAGCCGUGGAUUACAGGCCUUCACAGAUAGGCUGGUGUCCAGACGGCUGUCAUGACAUGAGUUGAUGGGAUUACAGGAGGCGGGUGUCUGUUGUCUGUCCUGCCACCAGCCCCCCUGUCCUCCUCCACCACGUCCCUUCAACCAGUGUGUGUUGCUUCAGAGCGCUGCAGGCUGCGACUUGUGCGUUUGUUAUUUAGGCUGCAAAUCAUUUAGAAUUAUUUAUGUUUUUAUUAUUUGUACGUAACUUUAUGUGCAACAUUUAGCAAAUGUUUCUGUGUUUACAUUUCAGUCAAAUAACACAUUUACAAUGAAGGUUUAUUUUUUGACAGCUUGUAAAUUAGAAUUUUUUUUCAGUAACUCUUAUUCAUUUCAGCUUGACAGGCCUUAACUGGAUUAAAGCAGAAUGAUGACUCUAUUUAUUGAUUAGUAUAAAAUGUGAUUGAUUCAGUAUUUGCUUUGAUGAGGAUUUUGUGUUACAUUCACAGCUUUGGGGCUUUGGACUCUUUGCCAUGAAAAUGUAGAAUAUUUGCCACCUGAACAGGUUCUCUGGAACUUGUUACAGUCCAUCUACAAUUCUUUGACUUUUUAUUGAUUUGGCAACAUAACGUUUUUUUAAACACUAAGAGGUGUUGUUUUGUAUUGUUAAUAUUUGAUUGUAGCGUUAUCACUUCACAGGCUCUGACAGUCAUAUGUAGUAAUACUGCAUUGUAUUGUGACUGUAUUGUGACAGUGUGUGCGGAGGAGGGGCUCAUUUUAUUACAGCAUCAUACUGCUGUAAUAAUCACAGUCCACUGCAGUACAAAAUAUCACAACCAUCUAUUUGAUGUCAUGACAUCAUCAUGGUGAUGUCCUUCAUUGUAAACAUAGCAUCACGUAUUCAAUGAGCAGGUGGAUGGAUGGGUGGAUGGAUGGAUGGAUGAAUGGAUGGGUGGGUGGAUUGAUGGGUGGAUGGAUGGAUGGAUGGAUGGAUGGGUGGAUGGAUGGAUGAAUGGGUGGAUGAUGGAUGGGUGGAUGGAUGGAUGGAUGAAUGGGUGGAUGAUGGAUGGGUGGAUGGAUGGAUGAAUGGGUGGAUGAUGGAUGGGUGGAUGGAUGGAUGGGUGGGUGGAUGGAUGGAUGGAUGGAUGGAUGGGUGGAUGGGUGGGUGGAUGGAUGGAUGGAUGGAUGGAUGGAUGGAUGGAUGGGUGGAUGGAUGGGUGGGUGGAUGGAUGGAUGGGUGGAUGAUGGAUGGGUGGAUGGAUGAUGGAUGAAUGGGUGGAUGAUGGAUGGGUGGAUGGAUGGAUGAAUGGGUGGAUGGAUGGAUGGAUGAAUGGGUGGAUGAUGGAUGGGUGGAUGGAUGGAUGAAUGGGUGGAUGAUGGAUGGGUGGAUGGAUGGAUGGGUGGGUGGAUGGAUGGAUGGAUGGAUGGGAUGGAUGAUGGAUGGGUGGAUGGAUGGGUGGGUGGAUGGAUGGAUGGAUGGAUGGGUGGAUGGAUGGGUGGAUGGAUGG